GGUUUCGUGGUUUAGUGGUAUAAUUCCCGCUUAGGGUGCGGGAGGUCCCGGGUUCAAUUCCCGGCGAAGCCC